rnacentral:rRNA from 1 species
UGGACCGGAGACAGGUGCUGCAUGGCUGUCGUCAGCUCGUGUCGUGAGAUGUUGGGUUAAGUCCCGCAACGAGCGCAACCCCCGUCCUUAGUUGCUACCAUUUAGUUGAGCACUCUAAGGAGACUGCCGGUGAUAAGCCGCGAGGAAGGUGGGGAUGACGUCAAGUCCUCAUGGCCCUUACGGGCUGGGCUACACACGUGCUACAAUGGCGGUGACAAUGGGAAGCGAAGACGCAAGUCCUAGCAAAUCUCAAAAAGCCGUCUCAGUUCGGAUUGGGCUCUGCAACUCGAGCCCAUGAAGUUGGAAUCGCUAGUAAUCGUGGAUCAGCAUGCCACGGUGAAUACGUUCCCGGGCCUUGUACACACCGCCCGUCACACCAUGGGAGUUGGUUUUACCUGAAGACGGUGCGCUAACCGAAAGGGGGCAGCCGGCCACGGUAGGGUCAGCGACUGGGGUGAAGUCGUAACAA